GUGCUCACCUGGGCAGCACAUAUGCUAAAAUUGGAACGGUACAGAAAAGAUUAGCAUGGCCUCUGCGCAAGGAUCACACACAAAUUUGUGAAGCAUUCCAUUAAAAA
ensembl:snRNA U6 U6 spliceosomal RNA